AUACGUAGGGUGCGAGCGUUAAUCGGAAUUACUGGGCGUAAAGCGUGCGCAGGCGGUUUGAUAAGACAGGCGUGAAAUCCCCGGGCUCAACCUGGGAACUGCGCUUGUGACUGUCUCACUAGAGUACGGCAGAGGGGGGUGGAAUUCCACGUGUAGCAGUGAAAUGCGUAGAGAUGUGGAGGAACACCAAUGGCGAAGGCAGCCCCCUGGGUCGAUACUGACGCUCAUGCACGAAAGCGUGGGUAGCAAACAGGAUUAGAUACCCUGGUAGUCCACGCCCUAAACGAUGUCAACUAGGUGUUGGGUGGGUAAAACCAUUUAGUACCGUAGCUAACGCGUGAAGUUGACCGCCUGGGGAGUACGGCCGCAAGGUUAAAACUCAAAUGAAUUGACGGGG
rnacentral:rRNA from 1 species